GCCGGUUAUCUACGGUGAAAGAGGUUGACAGUUUACGCCUUUUGCGACGCUGCUCCGGCUAAUUUGUACGAUUGAAUACUUUGUUCUUCCCUCUCUCGCGCCGUGAUCUCGAGACGUGAUCUCGCUAAUGAAUGAACGAACGCACGAUAUUCGAAGUCCGCGUAAAACGAGAAAAAUAUCCGGUGUCACGCGCGACCUUGUCGCCGGUUUCGCAAGAUUCGCGUAAUAGCGCGAGAGCUUGCGCCUAUCGCGUUUCUUGUCGCGACGUCGCCAUUUCUAUUUUCCGGGACUAUUUGGAUUUCCUACGACGAACUCUCGCACAUUACGUCUUCCGACAUCGUGACAGUUACGAAGACGCAAACCGGCGGAAGAAGGAGCUCGGGAAACCGUCUUGAAGGGUAGCUGUCAUCGAAGGCGCCGAACGAGGAAAGUGCCUAAGAGGAGGAACCUUUGGUAGAGUAGGAUGAUACGUGCAGAUAUUAACCAAGACAAAAGAAUUUCUUCGAACUUCUCUUCCAUAAAAAUUACGCGUUUUAUGCGUGCAACGUGACGUAUGCGUAUAAAAGAGGCCCCCUGGCGGUUUCGAAUGGCGAUGCGGACCGUGCGCGGGAAAUGGAGCAACACGAAGAACACCUAGCACUUGCGGAAAAUCUUAAUUGUAGAAAAUCUUCCUGUAGAAAAAAAAAUCUUUUAUGUAAUUCCAGAUUAUUAAGCUUAACGUAUCAUUCCUAAUUAAUAAAUCUUGGACCAUAUCGUCUUACGGAUUGGACGAUGCUAUCGAGCUACGAUGAAAUUGGAGUCAUCGCCGGGGCAAUUAAGACAAAACUGGUUUUCACAAUGAACUGACAGAUAGAUAUGAUUCUGAGAUCAUUGUGAAAGCUGAUUUUGUUCAAGUAUCAACGGGACCUUGAUCGCGUUAAGCUCGAAGAAGAAAAAUGGAAGCAACACAAAUAGUAAGUUUUUUAGAAAA